UGGGGAAUAUUGCGCAAUGGGCGAAAGCCUGACGCAGCGACGCCGCGUGGAGGAUGAAGGUCUUCGGAUUGUAAACUUCUGUUAAGUGGGAAGAAAAAUUUGCGUUUAAUACACGCAAGGAAUGACGGUACCAUUAGAGAAAGCACCGGCUAACUUCGUGCCAGCAGCCGCGGUAAUACGAAGGGUGCAAGCGUUAUUCGGAUUUAUUGGGCGUAAAGGGUGCGUAGACGGUAUAUUAAGUCUAUUGUUAAAUCUUCUGGCCUAACCAGAAAUCUGCAGUAGAUACUGAUGUGCUAGAGGGUGGAAGAGAGAAGUGGAAUUCUCGGAGUAGCGGUAAAAUGCGUAGAUCUCGAUAGGAACACCAAUGGCGAAGGCAGCUUCUUGGUCCACACCUGACGUUGAGGCACGAAAGCGUGGUGAGCAAACA
rnacentral:rRNA from 1 species